rnacentral:rRNA from 1 species
GACGAACCGUGCGAACGUUAUUCGGAAUCACUGGGCUUAAAGCGCGUGUAGGCGGAUUGGAACGUCGGCGCCUGAAAUCCCCCGGCUCAACCGGGGAACGCGGCCCGAAACGACCAGUCUGGAGGGACGUAGGGGGGACUGGAACUUCCGGUGGAGCGGUGAAAUGCGUUGAGAUCGGAAGGAACGCCCGUGGCGAAAGCGAGUCCCUGGACGUCUACUGACGCUGAGACGGCGAAAAGCUA